rnacentral:rRNA from 1 species
GGGCCCGCACAAGCGGUGGAGCAUGUGGUUUAAUUCGAUGAUACGCGAGGAACCUUACCAGGGCUUAAAUGCAGUUUGACAGGUCCCGAAAGGGAUUUUUCUUCGGACAGAUUGCAAGGUGCUGCAUGGUUGUCGUCAGCUCGUGCCGUGAGGUGUUAGGUUAAGUCCUGCAACGAGCGCAACCCCUAUUCUUAGUUGCCAGCGGUUCGGCCGGGGACUCUAAGAAGACUGCCAGCGCAAGCUGUGAGGAAGGUGGGGAUGACGUCAAGUCCUCAUGGCCCUUACGUGUUGGGCUACACACGUGCUACAAUGGUAUCUACAACAGGAAGCAAGACUGCGAAGUUAAGCAAAUCCCUAAAAGAUACCUCAGUUCGGAUUGCACUCUGCAACUCGAGUGCAUG